rnacentral:rRNA from 1 species
AGCCAUCAUUUAAAGAAAGCGUAAUAGCUCACUGGUCGAGUCGGCCUGCGCGGAAGAUGUAACGGGGCUAAACCAUGCACCGAAGCUGCGGCAGCGACACUAUGUGUUGUUGGGUAGGGGAGCGUUCUGUAAGCCUGUGAAGGUGUACUGUGAGGUAUGCUGGAGGUAUCAGAAGUGCGAAUGCUGACAUAAGUAACGAUAAAGCGGGUGAAAAGCCCGCUCGCCGGAAGACCAAGGGUUCCUGUCCAACGUUAAUCGGGGCAGGGUGAGUCGACCCCUAAGGCGAGGCCGAAAGGCGUAGU